UUCAACAAAACUCUUCUAAACAUAAAUUUUAUAUUACAUCAGGUUUAUUCUUCUCAAAUCUUCCAUUCUCCUUCUCAAACACUAAAACCCUAACCUUCUCCGAAACAAAGUCUUCCCAAAUAUUCCCUUAAUCGAAAUCCCAAAUCUUCCCUUAAAAGGAAAACCCUGAAGCAAAAACUUCCCUUGAAUUCUCAACGGCAUGGCAAAGAAGGAGAAGUCGAAAGCCAAUCAACAGGGUACGAACAAGCGAAAAUCUCGAGGGUGCUUCCCCGCCAUCACUCAUGUAAAAUUCCGAAGAAGAAAAGUUCCUCGCUUUCUGCUUCACAGCCAAGAUGAACGGAGGUGCAUCUGGUUUCACAAAUGCUCCUGUUACAAGGGCUUUCAUCAUCGCUUCAGCAAAUGCUUGUUACAAGGGCAUGGAUUUGGUUAAUCCAAAUCACAAAUCACAAAUCACUUCACACCUUUCACUUCAAUCUUAACUUGAAAACUGAAACUAAUUCCAGAUUCGGAGGAUCAAGCCGCAAAAAUUUCUGCAGAAGAGCAAAUGCAGAUGACGAACAUCCACACUUUGGAAAGCGACAUCAAUUCAGUGAAAUCUGAAAUUGCGCAAGUGGUUGGAGAUACGAAGAAGAUGAAUAAGUCUAAGGUUGAGAUAUGCUCGACGAUACUGGAAAACCAGAAAAAGCUUGCUGCCUUGGAGUCUGAUUCAUCCAGACUUACGCAGGUUUAAUUCUAUCAGCUUCAAAGGGAAAAAAAGGAUGGAUAGUAGGAAAAACCUGCAAUUCUGCUAUACACUUCUGAUGCUGGAGAAAGUUGGGAAAGGAUACCACUUAGUGCCGAGCUUUUGGGUGAUAUGAAAUGAUUGUGAAAAUUGAAAUGAUCUGAAGAGUGGUGCAGUGUUACCUUAAAUAGAUGAAAAUGAGGUCUGACACUCUUCUUGACUAUGCCGUGUUGCAAUUGUUUCCGAAGCGUUCAAGUCUCAACUAGCUGCUGCUAGGUUAAGACAUGGAUCUCAGGCUGUAUUUACUAGAAACCGGUUCAGAAUAAGACGAGAUCAUAUUUUGGAAGAUGCCUAUAAUCAAAUGAGUCAGUUGUCAGAAGAUGAUCUCCGAGGACUGAUUCGUGUGACUUUUGUCAAUGAGUUUGGAGUUGAAGAAGCUGGAAUAGAUGGAGGUGGAAUAUUCAAAGAUUUCAUGGAGAACAUCACACGGGCUUCCUUUGAUGUGCAGUAUGGAUUAUUUAAGUGGCUUAACAACUGCCGUGGGUCAGAAAAAUUAGGCUGUUUCUGGAAGAAAUACUACAAAAGAGGUUUGUGAAAAGUGAACGUGCUUUAGUUCCACAAUGGUUGAGAAGUAAUGGAGGUGUUACUAGUUCAGCCCACCAUUUUGCAUCUUCAUCUAAUCACACUGAUACUCAUACUGUAGCUCACUCAAGGAAUAUGUCUUCUAAGACAACUAGUGAUUUUGAUAGUCCUCGUUCUGUGUUUCUUGAACGGGCAUUUUCGUCAUAUUCUCGGAGGGGCACUAUCAACGGCUCGGUAUGGUUACUAUUGAUACAUGUGGCUCUGGUAAUAAUUUCUUGUGUCUUGUUUUUUUGGAUACAGAAAACAAUUGCUUCUCCAAGACGUGGUAUUUUGGUCAUGGAUGAAUCCAAUGCUACAUGUGGAAAGCGGUUGGAUUCAAUUGGACUAGAGAACACCGAAGCUAACCGUCAAGCAUGGCGUAAAAUUAUUUAUGAAGAAAGUGUUAUGAUUUAGUUAAAAUAUAAUUUUUAUGUGUAUGAUUUUAUAAUAUUUGAAAUAUUAUGACUGUACAUGAUUUUGUAUACUUUUUGGUUAAUAUUAAAAAUAAUUUGACUUAGUUAAAAUAUGAUUUUUAUGUGUAUGAUUUUAUAGUAUUUACAAUAUUAUGACUGAAAAUAAAAUAUAACUAAG